GCCAGACAAGGUACUGGAAAUACCCACACAUUUAGCCUUCAUUGUUCAGUAUGAAGGACAUUCAUUGAUAGAGCUGAGAAUGGUACCCACUGUUCAUUGCACACCGGACUUUCUGCCGAGCUCAGAUUACCCUUCUUACAGACGGAUCUUACUGUGGAUGGAUUAGAACAUCAAAAAAGAUUGACAGCAUAAAUCAUAGCUGUGGUGUUAAUUACACAGCAGUAAAAAGGGAAAAAGCUUCCUUCUUUCGAGUGGAAAUAAAAUGCACUAAGCACUGACUCAUCCCUCCAUAGGUGAGCCUGUAGAGAUUUCUGCUCUUUAGUCUGUGCUGUUUAAUU